GCGCCUUUAGCUCAGUUGGUAGAGCAACUGACUCUUAAUCAGUGGGUCCGGAGUUCGAGUCUCCGAAGGCGCACCA
rnacentral:tRNA from 1 species